rnacentral:rRNA from 1 species
CCUACGGGAGGCAGCAGUGAGGAAUAUUGGUCAAUGGACGCAAGUCUGAACCAGCCAUGCCGCGUGAAGGAAGACGGCUCUAUGAGUUGUAAACUGCUUUUGUACGGGGGUAAACGCAGAUACGUGUAUCUGUCUGCAAGUAUCGUACGAAUAAGGAUCGGCUAACUCCGUGCCAGCAGCCGCGGUAAUACGGAGGAUUCAAGCGUUAUCCGGAUUUAUUGGGUUUAAAGGGUGCGUAGGCGGUCGGAUAAGUUAGUGGUGAAAUCCCGAGCUCAACUGCGGAAUUGCCUUUGAUACUGUUAGGCUAGAGAGUAGUUGCGGUAGGCGGAAUGUAUGGUGUAGCGGUGAAAUGCUUAGAGAUCAUACAGAACACCGAUUGCGAAGGCAGCUUACUAAGCUAUUUCUGACGUUGAGGCACGAAAGCGUGGGGAGCAAACAGGAUUAGAUACCCGUGUAGUC